UACAGAGGGGGCAAGCGUUGUUCGGAAUUACUGGGCGUAAAGGGCGCGUAGGCGGCCUGUUAAGUCGAACGUGAAAUCCCUGGGCUCAACCCAGGAACUGCGUCCGAUACUGGCAGGCUUGAAUUCGGGAGAGGGAUGCGGAAUUCCAGGUGUAGCGGUGAAAUGCGUAGAUAUCUGGAGGAACACCGGUGGCGAAGGCGGCAUCCUGGACCAAUAUUGACGCGGAGGAGCGAAAGCCAGGGGAGCAAACGGG
rnacentral:rRNA from 1 species